rnacentral:rRNA from 1 species
CAGGAAACGGGCNAGGGUUCUUUCCACCAGUUAAAAGGUUUAGGUGAGGUUACCUUAAAAGGAUAUUUGGCGUUAAUUCGGAAGUUAUUCCAGCCAUUAAGGAUGUAUAAGUUUGGUAAUGUGGUGCCGGUAUUAGGUUUAAAACAAUGGGGUUUGGCCAUAUAAGGUAAAUUUUGGUAAUGGGGUUCCAUUCAGAAUUAAUUUUGGAGGAAUGCCGGUAUUGGAUUUGCCCUAUUAAAUAAAUUACCGUGUUAUGAAAGGGUUAGGUGGUGCCGGGGAAAGGGGAAAUUGGGUUUGUUUUCGGGGGGAAAGCCUUAAAAAAGGGUUUUACCUUCCAGGGAGGCCGCCGGGGGGGAAAUUUCCCCAUUUCCAUUGGGGGGAGGAGGGGAGUGAAAAGGCCAAGUUCCUUUUUUUUUGGGAGGGACCAUGGAAAGGGUUAAUUUUAAAUUCCUUUAAGGUUAUCAAUGGGGGGGCAAGUUUGGGGCCCGCCGGCGGGGGAAUUUCCGGUUUUCUUAUGCCAUGAAAUGGUGGUGCGGUUAAAAAAUUUGUAAUUGCAAAUGUUCGGAGGGGGAUGGUUUAAUUUUUUGGUAGUUAUAUUUACUCCGGUUAGAGGUAAUAUGGUUGAUAGCCAUAUAACUCAGUUACUUUGAGUAAAUCAGAGUGCUUAGAACAAGCGUAUUGCUUGAAUGGUUGUGCAUGGAAUAACAAUACAAUGCAUUGAUAUUUGUUUUGUUGGUUUUAAUGUCAAUGAAUGAUUAAAAGGAACAAACGGGGGCAAAAGUAUCAUAAGGCGAGAGGUGAAAUUUCGUGGACCCUGAACAAGG